ACCCGCUGAACUUAAGCAUAUCAAUAAGCGGAGGAAAAGAAACC
rnacentral:rRNA from 1 species